AGUUUAUAUUUUACUGCCUGCGGCUAACGUUAUUGAGUAUAAUUCUAAAGACUCACAGAAGGGAAUAGCAGUGUGUCCUCCUGGCAUUGUGCCAGCGGCAAGACUCUGCACUGUAUAAUAUGCCUUGUUUUAACCUUCCACACAUUCCACCGGAGAAUAUUCAGCCUUAUUCUCAUCUGCAGCAAAUGCUAUCCCUAUGUUUGCAUGUGAC